CAAAUACGUAUUCCCCUUUUAUUAAAACUCUACACCCUAACAUAAGGGAGAUCAGAUCUUUUCCUCAUCUCUAGUGGAGCGCAACUUUUUUUCAUUUUUUCACCAGCAAAAGAAGAGAGACUCCUCCAUCUAAGAGAAAACAUGAUUCAGCCCUUUUGCAACUUCUCUAUUUUUUCAAUUUUCCUUCUUCUUCUCAAAAAUCAUCCUCAUUUUUCCCACACUCCUUGGAGCUAUCAGUUUUAUAUGGAUUCAAACCCUUCUCCAAGAGAUAAAACAGAAUCUUGAGUUCAAACCUUGUGAAGCUUAGAUCUGAAAGUAAGAGAACAGAGGAAUUUUUGGGAGUGACAGGAAUAGGAGAUUUUGGGACUUAAAUUCGAGAAAAAGGGGGAAAGGAUUUAGGUUUGGUUCUUUGUUUGUUAAGUUUUUAAUUAAUUCCAGAAUUUUCUUUCAAUUCCUAGAACAAAAAUACAGGAAAAAAGUCAAAGAAAAGAAGAAAAGUUUGAGUUCAGUUUCUUCAAUCUAGUCCUGCUCCUAUUCGAAAACAGAAAUGAAUAAGAAAGGAUAGGAUAGGAGAACGUCUCUAUCUUCUUGCUUCCCAAUUUGAAAUUCAGUUCAAAAAUGGGUUUAGAUUGAUCGACUUUGUCCCUGUUUGAAAUUGCCGUUUGAGGUUGAAGUUCGACGUUGUUGAAGCUCAUAACCAUAUCACUUGUCGCUACUGUAUCUUUUUGGCCGAGCUCCAUUUUAUUCUUUUUGCCUUUAUUUGGCGUUUCAAGUAAUCUGUGAUUUUCAGGUAUCAUUUUAAAUAACCUUUGAUUUGUUUGAAUGAGAUAAAUUCAAAUCUAUUCACACUUUGUGUUGUUUCAAUUCUGACAACUUCGUUGAUAUUCAUCAGGCUAAGUCUUUGUUGAUUAUUGUAUUGAAACAUAAAUUAAUUUGGUGUUCAAGUUUUCUACACUAGUUAUGUUAAGAAUGAUUUCGAAUCUGCUUCGUGCCUUCCAUUGAGUAAUGUGGUUUGAAAUGAUGGAAAAGGAGUUUGUAUAAUCUACAACAACAACAAGUACCCAGUAUACUCCCACCAGGUGGGGUUUGGGGCGAGUUUGUAUAAUCUGUUUGGAUUAAAUAAGUAGCAGACAUUAGGAAUCCAACAAUUUCAUUGUUCAUUCUUAUUUAAGUUGAAGUAACUGAUGAUUUUCUUUUAAGUACGCAGUAGCCCGCGAGAAUGAGUGUGUUUGGGAAUCAAGUUAAUUAUAGAUACAGAGCCUAGAAC
rnacentral:lncRNA from 1 species